rnacentral:rRNA from 16 species
AAAGUAACAACGAUUCCCCUAGUAACGGCGAGUGAAGAGGGAUGAGCUCAAGCCCUAAAUCUGGACUUUGUAAAAGUUCCGAAUUGUAGUCUGAAGGUUUUCACCAAUGGGCGACUCGAGGUCCAAGUCCCUUGGAAAAGGGUGCCAGAGAGGGUGAGAGUCCCGUAUGGCCAUCGAGUCGCUUUCCGGUGGAUUCCGGAGAGUCGGGUUGCUCGGGAUUGCAGCCUGAAUGGGAGGUAAAUUUCUCCUAAAGCUAAAUACUGGCGAGAGACCGAUAGCGAACAAGUACCGUGAGGGAAAGAUGCAAAGAACUUUGAAAAGAGAGUUA